rnacentral:rRNA from 1 species
UUAAAAAGCUCGUAGUUGAAUUUCGGGGUCAGUAGGUCGGUCGUGCCACUGGUAUGAACUGGUUUUACUGAUUCCUCCCUCUUGAAGAACUGUAAUGCCAUUAAUUUGGUGUUGCAGGGAAUCAGGACUGUUACUUUGAAAAAAUUAGAGUGUUUAAAGCAGGCUUUAGCUUGAAUACAUUAGCAUGGGAUAAUGAAAUAGGACGUUUGAUCCUAUUUUGUUGGUUUCUAGGAUUGACGUAAUGAUUAAUAGGGAUAGUUGGGGG